rnacentral:rRNA from 1 species
GAGUUUGAUCUUGGCUCAGAGUGAACGCUGGCGGCAGGCCUAACACAUGCAAGUCGAGCGGCAGCACGGGUAGCAAUACCUGGUGGCGAGCGGCGGACGGGUGAGGAAUACAUCGGAAUCUGCCUCGUCGUGGGGGAUAACGUAGGGAAACUUACGCUAAUACCGCAUACGACCGAGAGGUGAGAGCGGGGGAUCGCAAGACCUCGCGCGAUGAGAUGAGCCGAUGUCGGAUUAGCUAGUUGGCGGGGUAAAGGCCCACCAAGGCGACGAUCUGUAGCUGGUCUGAGAGGAUGAUCAGCCACACUGGAACUGAGACACGGUCCAGACUCCUACGGGAGGCAGCAGUGGGGAAUAUUGGACAAUGGGCGCAAGCCUGAUCCAGCCAUGCCGCGUGGGUGAAGGAGGCCUUCGGGUUGUAAAG